rnacentral:lncRNA from 1 species
AUAUAUGAUAAUUAAACUCGACCAAAAUAAAAUAUUUAUGUCCCGAUCUACCGUUCUGAAACACCCUAGCAGCCAUUUCCGCUAAUACAUCAGCCAGUGACCAACUCGCUGGAAUUGAGACACACUAGUGUCGCCCCACUCCUCUCCUGUGUCGCAACCAAUCGUCGCUGCUGAUAUUCGAAGUCACUGGAUUGGAUUACGAGUCAUUCCGUCAUCACCUCCUUGGUUCUGUUACGCCGCUGCCGUGCAUCACUUUUGCUCCAUCUUGAUUUAAGGUGAAUGACGAAAUGUUUAACAAAGAUGAGUUAUUGAUGUAGCUCUGGUGAUAGAUGUCUUUUUGUAGAUCACAAACCGGGUUGGGAGCUUGCGAAAAAAAUAUUGGUUGAAGCUUCAUAUCAAUCCUUGGGAUUGAGAAAUCCAUCACAACAUCUUUCUAGAUCGGGUCCUCCUGGAGUUUUAUCCCCAAGGGGCCCAACUCCAAUUCAUGUUGAUACAAGAUCACCACCAAGACCAACUUAACCCAAUUCUUCAACUCAACCAAGACCAACUGUAGCUAACAUGAUUCAAGCCCAAGUGAACGCUUUAUCUGCUACAGUUUGUUCACAAGGUGAAACAAUCAAGAUGUUGGUUGAAGCAAAGUGAAAAGAUUUCAAAGUUAAAAAAAAAAUGAUAAGGUGUAUCAAGAAACUUUUGACAAGUUGCUUACUAAGAAUGCUUCUUUGAAAGAACAAUAUGCUGAGCUUGCAAAGCGACUUGGUGCUCAGGGGGAGAAGUCUGGUACGGGUCGUAAAGGUAAUGAGUUACAAGGAAAAGACAGUUGAUAAGGUUGGAACUGUUGCUGAGGAGAUGUAGAAGGUUGUUGAUAAAGCUAUUGCAGAUUCAGUAAAACAAAUUGCAACACAAGAAGCAUUCAUGGCUGAGUAGUGUGCAAGCUGCAAGUAGUGUGCAAGCUGCAACUACUAUGGAUGUUGAUAGUACUACAACUGAGGGGGCGUCUGGUACUAGUGAUGAAAGAGGAAAGACAAAGGUUGAUGAAGCAGAUCCGGCUAUUAGAAUGAUAACAAAUAGAUGCAUUAGCUGGUUUAGGUUUGCAGUUGUUUGAGUCGGAUGAUGAUAGUGAUGAUGAACAUUUAGAAGAUAAACAUUGUAUUGAAAAUGAUGACUUAGAAGAAGGCGAGAUAGUGGAGGACAGAUGAUGAGGCAAGGAUAGACGUGGAGGUUAAGGCGAACAAGGAAAUGGUGUGUUAUGUUAAUAAUUAAAGAAGGCGUGGAGCUUGGUUUCUCUUAAAAACUGAGAAAAAUUAAUGAUGGAACAACUUAGACUACCAAUAUUCCUGAACCCGAAGUUAUUUUUGAGAUGUGGCCUCCAAAGCUAAUUCAGAAGGUUAACUACAUAUGCAAGGCAAACACAAUCGGUAGGAAUCUGAGUUAGAUGUAUGACUCAGAAUUCAAACUAUUAUGUAUCAAAAAAACUGACGGUGUUCAGUACAUCAAACUGGGGGUUAAGUAUUUGACAACGUUGCCUAUUUUUUUUAUCUACAUACGUUAAGACAUACUAAUCUUAUUAAUCGUGAUAAGGAUGGAUAUGCUGAAGGAUUAUAUAAGGUUUUGAGAUAAGAAGGGUAUGAUUAUAAAUGGAAGCACUUUAAACCAUGCAUUGGUCGGUGGGUUAAAGACAAGAUGAGAAAAGAUCCAAAGACUAGUGAUUAUAUGUAUAAGAUGGUUUACAAGCUAGCAAGAUGCAUCUAGAAGAUUCCUUUAAAGAAGCAUGAAAUGGACAUCUUGAGAGGAAUGAAAUGUUGGUUUGUAGAUCACAUGACUAGUGAAGCUAUGAUAGCACGAAGCAAUACAUCUGAUGAGAUUCUUUGUGUCUAUGAUCCUAUGAAUCUAAUAAACAUGUCAAUGGAAGAUCUGAAGUAGUUGCGAAGACAUGACAUCCAGUAUCAUCUAAAAUAAAGACUUCAGGGAUUACAGUUUAAACGUGUUGUGGAGUUGUGCAUGACAAAGGGAAUUUGUGCUGGAAGCUUGUUUCCAUCUUAAUGGAAUUAAACCGGGUUGAAGACAUCAAGAAGCAUCCAUCAAGGGGGAGUCUACUGAUGCACCUUGGUGAUCAAGGCUUGGAUGAUACAGUGUUAGAUUCGAUAGUAUUGUUGUAAUAGUUUGAUUUCUAAUAUGUUUUGUAAAUGCCUAACUGUUAGCGCACUCAAGGCUUAACUGCAUUGGAAUGUUAGCACAAUUAGCCUUAAUAUCGUUGUUAAGCUAGAUAACCUCACUAGUAUGUUAGCGAGGUUAUAGAAUCUAGCGCAUUUAGUCGGGUGCCUAUAUAAAGUUGUAGGCUUGUCAUUUUGUGAGGACUUUUGGUGAGAUUGUGAGUAUUUGUGUGAAUUUAUGUAAUUCAUUGUUUACAUUCAUAAUCAACAAAAAUAAGUUAUUUACGCUGUUUGUGUACGUCUAUACUUGUUGUGAUGGAUUUCCGCACUUCACGUGCAAGAGUGAUUCGAGUUAGUCGAUAUAUGGGUGUUGUGGGACCUACAUGUUUCCAAAGCCGACGGUGUUAAAGAAGAUUCCAUCGAGGAAACAACCACAUAACUAUUGAAGACCAUAAGAUGGUGCUAUUACGAUUGUGUAACAGGUGAAGUAGUUAUUAUGUUGGCGAAGGAUAACAAUAUCAUUAGAAUUUUUUAUCCGAUGACGAUUUUGAACUUCUACGCCGAAGAUAUCAAGAUCUUAUACAUGAAUGAUAUAUUCUAUGAUCUGAAAGAUAUGAAGCAAACACUACAAUUUCAGUGAGUUGUUCAAGUGUGCUUUUCUUUUGAUAUCUACACCAGAAGUGGUUGGAAGUCAAACUGGAAGUAAACAAGUGUAGAUUGAAGACAGAGACCUCCAACUAUUGUUAAGGGGGAGUCUGUUGGUGCAGAUUCAGUGACAUUAGCCUGGGGGUGUCAAGUUUAUGUUUGGGUGUUUGGGUUAUGUUUUGGAAAUGUAUCGCAAAGAGACAUGGCACAGAGAGUCUCUCCUAAACAUAGACACCCUCUGCGCUAAAUAA